rnacentral:rRNA from 1 species
UACGGAGGGUGCGAGCGUUGUCCGGAAUCACUGGGCGUAAAGGGCGCGUAGGCGGCUCAUGAAGGCUGUGGUGAAAGUCCGGGGCUCAACCUCGGAUCGGCCGUGGCGACUCGUGGGCUGGAGCACUGUAGAGGCGGGUGGAAUUCCGGGUGUAGCGGUGGAAUGCGUAGAUAUCGGAAGGAACACCUGAGGCGAAGGCGGGCUACUGGGCCGAUACUGACGCUGAUGUGCGAAAGCCAGGGGAGCGAACGGG